AUGCCCUGCGAUGGAUGGUUCAUUGCUGAGCACCGGGCCAGCCAUAACCAUUCAUUGUCACUGACUUGUGGUGAAAAGGUUUACUGUCCAUCGCACAAGCACAUAGAUGUCUACACAAAAGAUCUAGUGAAGCGACUUAGGGGUAAUAACGUGAAUCUCAACAAGGUGUACAACAUAGUAGGAAGCUUCUUCGGUUCAUCUCAGAAUGUGUCUUUCACAAAGAAGCCACUCCGGAGCCUUUCUGCACAACAUAGUAGGAGGCUUCUUCGGUUCAUCUCAGAAUGUGCCUUUCAUGAAGAGGUCACUCAAGAUGCAUGUGUUUGUGUGACAGUAUAUCGGGUUGCAAUUUGA
rnacentral:rRNA from 1 species